rnacentral:lncRNA from 1 species
ACUGACCUGAUGACACUGAUGUGGAACUGGUCCUCGCGAAGGCCUCGCCAGGCUCCGGGCAGGAAUUCCUUACACCACAGGUACCUGAGCCCUGACAUUUUUGCUAUCAAAAUACUGAAGAACCACAGGAGGGACUGCCUAGUUCUCCUGGGAUGAAAGGGUCUCAUCUAAUCCAGGCAAGCUGCUGGCCUUGAUCACCCAAUGUAAAUGAGGACGGCCUUGAACACCAAGUCAACUUUCUUCUUCUACCUCUCAAGUGCUGGCACUGUGUGUACAACAUGCAUAGCUUCCAAUAACAUUUCAGGAAGAAUUUAGACUGUAAGAUUUCACCAAAUUAGUUCUUCAGUUCUCUACGUACAACUGCAUACAAGAGGCUAUAUUGUAGGCAAUACCAGAGGAGAAAGACAGCAUCGUUGUCUUGGUUUGUUUGAUUUUAAUUAAUUAAUUAAUUAAUUAAUUAUUUUGAGACAAGGGUUCUCUGUGCCCUGACUGUCCUGGAACUCACUGUUUAUACAGUGGGAUGGUGGCAGUGAGGAUGUAGGUCCUCACAGAAUAUAUGCCUAACCUGCAUCAUGGAAAAAGUUAAACUCACUCAAAGACACAGAAAAAUAAGCUAGACACCACUAAAAUGAAGGCAGGUGCACACACAGACUGAGAGUUAGCAUAUGUGUGUGUGUGUGUGUGUGUGUGUGUGUGUGUGUGUGUGUGUGUGUGUGUGUGUGUGUGUGUGCGUGCGUGCGUGUGUGUAGAGGUCAGAGGACAACUUUCUCCUUCCAUCAUGUGGCUUUCAGGAAUCAAAUUCAGGCCAUCAAGUUUUGCAGCAAUUGCCUGCCUAUCAAGCCAUCUCACUUGACUGAUGUAGGCAUUUUUAACAGGGUUUGUGUGUCCUUUACUUUCUGAAACUUGUUCAUUCCAAUCUCAGAUGUCGUCCAAGUACCCCAAUUUUCACUGUUCACCAUGUCAAACUACUUAAAAGCUAAAAUCAACAUAAAAUAACUCUACUUAUCCUAUUUUCCCUGGGGUGUGCCCCUCCUGAGAUGACCUCUGUUUCUCACUCUCUAACUAGACUGCCUCAUAAAUAAAGCC